rnacentral:rRNA from 1 species
AUUGAACGCUGGCGGCAGGCUUAACACAUGCAAGUCGAGCGGAGACUUCGGUCUUAGCGGCGAACGGGUGAGUAAUACCUAGGAAUCUGCCUAUUAGUGGGGGAUAACGAAUCGAAAGGUUCGCUAAUACCGCAUACGUCCUACGGGAGAAAGAGGGGGAUCUUCGGACCUCUUGCUAAUAGAUGAGCCUAGGCCGGAUUAGCUAGUUGGUAGGGUAAAGGCCUACCAAGGCGACGAUCUGUAGCUGGUCUGAGAGGAUGGCCAGCCACACUGGAACUGAGACACGGUCCAGACUCCUACGGGAGGCAGCAGUGGGGAAUAUUGGACAAUGGGGGCAACCCUGAUCCAGCCAUGCCGCGUGUGUGAAGAAGGCCUUCGGGUUGUAAAGCACUUUAAGCGAGGAGGAAGGUCACUGUACUAAUAUUAUAGUGAAUUGACGUUACUCGCAGAAUAAGCACCGGCUAACUCUGUGCCAGCAGCCG